UCGGUGCACGGCGGCCGCUCUGCCUCAUCCAGCACACUGCCGUGCCGCGCCAACACCGGGUACCCCUACCCGCUCCUUUAGGGCUGCCAUGUCACUCAGUCCCGGGGCAGAAGGGCAGCGGGCGGGCAGGCACGCUCCCUCCCUCCCGCACCAGAGUGCACACGGCUCAGCUCGCGCCAGGAGACGCCACAAAAGCCCGCUCUGCGGCUAGAGAGACACCACCUUCCGGAGGCCACCACCGGAUCAGGUGCAGGCGGUCAGGUCGGGUCUGGGUGCGUUUUCCACUGAGCACCCCUGCCACCCCUUCGCCAGGCAGGUGAUUUUACCUACAGUUCUGAAGAAGUGAUCCAUCCCAUCUACUCGCAAACCAAAACGCUCAUUAAAUACAAGCACUGCAGUAUCAGAAGAAGAGCAAGAACUGCUACUUUUUUGGUCAGAAUUCUUGUCUGCAAUUCCUGUCACAGUAAGGAGAACUACUCACUGAUCAAGACUCCAUUGCACUAGGAAUUCUGUGAAGCUCGUGAAAACAAUAGCAUCCCAGAAAACUUUACAAUCCAAGUAUAUGAGACAACAUUCAAGUGGAUCCAAACAAGAAGUCAGGUCCCUUCUACACAAAUGCUUUAUGAAGAAAUAUGGAAGUGAGCUUUCACCACUGGCUGUGACAAGGCUAGAGUGUAUUUGCUUGUGUAUGUCCAAAACCUCUUGGCAGGUGCAUCCCCUGCGAGGGCUGAAAGUCAAGGAUAGACCUUACUUGCUUUUAGAUGUUUGAAGGCGAAGUAUUUAGCCUUCAGUUGUCAUUGUAGGCUCCUUUUGUAAUCACUGAUCAGUGAAAUAUACCAUCAAAGGUAAUUUGUGUCGUCCUAAAAUGAAUGCCUUUGGAAAGUUAAGCAAGUAAGCAUUCCUCCCUUUUCUUCCACUAUACUUAAUGAGAACAUAGGCUACUAGCUCUGACUGCUGUGGAUGACUGUGUAUUAGUGGCAAUAUUUAAAUACUUACUGAACUUGGACAUCCCUCAUCACAGGUAACAAAAGUAGAACAACUACGAAGGCUUAAGAAUAAGUGACAGACAUUUAUAGUGACCAUGAUGGUUCUCCAGGAGUGAUAAAGAGUGCAACAGCUGAGUUGUAAAUAAAUAUCUACAAGUGAUCAUCUCACAUUUACUAUGCCCCACUGAGAUGAAACCCUAACCCUGACCCCAACUCUAGCCCUGGAAAUACCAGUUAAAUUAUAGAUAUCUUAUUUUUGCAUUAUCCUGGAGAAUAGAAAUAUUUUUAACAGUGAACUAAUGCUAAAGAAACACUAAAGAAAUACCAGCCAGUGACUGCAGUCUCAUUGCUAAGAACAGUAAUUAGCAAAUACAUUGAGAAUGACAAAAUACUGAGAUGUUUAUGAUUUAAGACCAAAUUAUCGGCUUUCAUGAGGAUAAAUUCUGACUCAUUUUGAGCCUUUUUUGUAGCAAACUAAUAAAGGAAGGGAGAAAGAAAACCAGGCAAAUAAUUUAGCGGCUGAACUUUCACACAACAGGCUGUAAAAGAAACUUGAAAACCAUGGGGGUGUAGGAGCUGUUCUGUCAUUAAUCAAAACCUGCAAAAGCAAGGAAGCAAAUGAUAGUAAUAUCAGUCUGCAAUUAGGUUAAAUCUGAAUUGUUCAAGUGAUGAGUGCAUGUGAAAUUUUCUUGUGUACUCUCAUUUGCCAGACUUAAAAAGAUAAUUAGUGAAUUAUCGUAAAAUGUGUUUAAUUAAUUAGGAGGAUGUAGGAGAUCUGAAAAAUUAAGUUGGAGAUUAACACUUAUUUUCCUCAAGUUUAAUUUCACCCAGCUAUGCAGCAAAAUUUUCCUCCCGUUUUAUUGUAUUCAACUGUCUCACAGAUUGAAGAAGGCUUCGGUUUCUUCAUCCAAAUUCCUGGCCUAUAUCCAUUUGCUAAGUUUCAGGUUCUGCAUUUUUUGGUAUCUGUGGAGUAGGAUGGGAGUGCAGCUGUUUGCGGUUGCUCAUGCUUUGUAUCUCUUGACAUAUAAGAGCCUGGAAAAAAGCCGUAAGUGUGCCAGUGUUGUCUUGAACAUUUGGCUAGUGGCAUACAAAACAGAAACCCUAGUGCCUGACACCAGCAUGCAAAACAUAGACUCAAAGUCCAGCAGGAGGGAGAAGAAAGCAAACUGUAAGGUCACACUGUGUGAGAACAUGGUAAAAAUCUCACUCUGGACUGAAAACUUUCCCUUGACUUUUGCACUGGGUUUGCCACCCGGUUAUUUGAAGGGGCUGAUGGUAACAGGAGCUUGGCAGAACCAUGCAGGCGAUCUCAUUCACUGAACAGUUGCACUGGCCAGGUGGUCCUCUGAGGUUGGCUGGGGACACAGACUCUUCUUUUUACAGUUUCUAGGAAGCAUCCGGAUGCAAUUAAGUGAGCCAGGAAAAAAAUCUGUUCUUCGUUCCUUGGAAAGCUGAGGUAGUAUGGAAGAAAUGCCUAGGGUUUUCCAGAACACACUCCUUAAAUGGUUUGGCAAAGAAGCAUUUUUGACCAGAGAAAUACAGGCAACACAGUAUAACUUUUUUUUUGGGGGGGAGGUGUUGAGGAAAGGGAGAUUCUGCAGUGUGGGAACAAAGGUUGAUUUUUGCUGCUUUCUAUGCCUUGUGACACCACAAAGGUGUCACGCAAUGGGAACCACAGGUUCUGUCACCAGUAAUCUUUCCACACCCUGCAGAGACAGUUUAAUUUACCUGCCCUCUGCCUCCAAGCAGACUACUGUAUUGAGUGGAGAUGGCCUCAGUGUGGGCCAACUUGCGGUGAAAAUAUUUCCUUAAUUACAAGGAGAGGAGGAAUGGGUCUAACUCGGUUUGACACUUGCUUAAUCACGCUUGAGUCCAGUUAAAGACAGGGUCUUCAUCUUGUGCAUUUUUUUUGCACAUUCCUUCAGCCCUUGCAAACACAGUGGCUUCCUGGGCAAGAAUUCUUUCUGUAGCUGAGGGACAGAGUAAACCAAGUAAACUGCUCCAGAACCACAUUCAGCAUCACUAACACUUCCAUUAAAGCCUGUGAAGUGCAUGCAAAUAAAA